AUUGUGGAAGGCGACACGUGAGGAGAAUUGUGACUGGCCCAGAUGUCACCCCCCCCCAGCCCAGUAGUCAUUCUUCUCUGGAAGUCCUUACCCAUCUCACCUGUUCAUUCUUCAACCCCCAGUUUCCCGACCUUUUUCCUCAAGCCACGCCCUUCCACGCUUUCUUGUCUUUUCUGUGGUGUUCCUUCAGUCUAGAAUAUUCUCCACCUAGUACAAUCCUGCUCCUCCCCUGACAUUCUGCUGAAAUUGCACUCUUCAGCCUUCCCAGCUACCAGGAUGAGACAACUCUACUCAGACCCAAGCACACCAAGCCAGGAAUGCACAAAGGACGGCUGAUGUUUGAGAUAAGAACUGUCUCAAGGACUUUCUAUAAUAACCACACAAGGAAUUCCUCAUGUACGUCACAAGUCUCAUGCGUUUCUCCACCUACGUUUUGCACAUGUGCACACAUUUAUUGAUUUAGAGGCAGGGAUCUUGCUGUGCUGCCCAGACCGGACUCAAAUUCCUGGGCUCAAUCGGUCCUCCUGCCUCAGCCUCUAGAGUAGCUGGGACUCCAGGCAUGCGCCACCCUGUUAUUUCUGUGACCAGGCUUAGCACUAGGCAUUCUUUCGGACGACAGCAAUUCAAAUAAGAUGCUCUCCAAAGAACACUUGCCUAGUAGCGGCAUCUCCAAAAAUAAAUUGAUGCCGCUCCGGCUUUGAGCCUCCAGAACCAAAGAAACCUGUUUCCAGACAGCUUAUGUGAACUUCUACUUUUGGCCAAUAAGAGCUCCCACUUACCCCUGCCCUAUUCAGGUGCACCUGUGGCUUGCCAUAGCCAUAUAGCCAGGUGCACCAUCCUUUUUGCCUGCUCCUGAAUAAAUUAAUUAUAUUAGGAGACAUCUUUCUCUGAUGUCUUUUUUAGGUUAGCAACUCUAAUAUGUUGGAAGAAUACAGGCCAGCUACUUUGUAGAAUGUUCCUCAAUUUGAGUUUGUAUGAUGCUUUCUCAUGAUUAGAUUCAGGUUAUGUAUGUUUUGCAAAAAUACCUCAGAAGUGAUGGCAUCCUUGGUGCGGCAUCCUUGGUGCAUUAUAUCAGGAGGCAAAUGAUGUGGGUUUGUCCCAUUGUUUGUAAUGGUAACAUUGGUUGCUUGGUUAAGGUGAAGGGUGCCAAGCUUCUCCACUGUAAAGUUCCUAUUUUUUUCUCUGUAAUUAAUAAGUAAUUUGUAUGAUACUUUGAGAUAACAAAGUAGACUGUUCAUCAAACUUUCAUCAAUGAAUUUAACAUCCAAAGACGCCUCAAGAAUGAUCAUCAAAAGCAGCCUACUAAUGACUGUCAUUUACCAUUUAAUACAUUUCAAACAGUGCACGUGCUCUGUGACAUAUUCUGGGAAGGAACAUGUUACCUGAUACAUAAUAGGUGAUCAAUAAAUAGUAUUUACUGACA